rnacentral:rRNA from 1 species
AACGUAGGACGCAAGCGUUAUCCGGAGUUACUGGGCGUAAAGCGCGGGCAGGCGGCUCGAUGCGUCUGAUGUGAAAGCCCCCGGCUCAACUGGGGAGGGUCAUUCGAUACUGAUCGACUCGAAGGCAGGAGAGGGAAGCGGAAUUCCCGGUGUAGUGGUGAAAUGCGUAGAUAUCUGGAGGAACACCGGUGGCGAAGGCGGCAUCCUGGACCGGUAUUGACGCUGAGGCGCGAAAGCUAGGGGAGCAAACGGGGAUUAA